rnacentral:rRNA from 1 species
AGAACGAACGCUGGCGGCAUGCCUAAUACAUGCAAGUCGAACGAACACUUCGGUGUUAGUGGCGCACGGGUGCGUAACGCGUGGGAAUCUGCCCUUGGGUUCGGAAUAACAGUUGGAAACGACUGCUAAUACCGGAUGAUGACGAAAGUCCAAAGAUUUAUCGCCCAGGGAUGAGCCCGCGUAGGAUUAGCUAGUUGGUGAGGUAAAGGCUCACCAAGGCGACGAUCCUUAGCUGGUCUGAGAGGAUGAUCAGCCACACUGGGACUGAGACACGGCCCAGACUCCUACGGGAGCAGCAGUAGGGAAUAUUGGACAAGU